rnacentral:lncRNA from 1 species
CUCCCGCUCGACCGAGCACGGUGAGGGAACUUCUCUAAGCCCCGCCUCUCCUUGCAACCUGUGUUGGCCUAAACUGCCCGGCAACUGUUUACGUCACACGACCAUGGCCCUCCCAGAAUGGACGAGAUUUACUAGACAACCCCGCCCACUAGGCUGAAAUUACCCUCGGCAGGUGCCACUUCUGAGCCCGGUGAGCUCUGGGGGAAAGGACCCAGGCGGGGCGGGGCAGGUGGUAAACUGAGCUCAGCGCCUGGCGCGCUUGCACUUCCUCUAGUUGCGCUCGCCCUCCAUCUUCCACCUCAGAAAGGCCACCGCUCCGAGCUGCAACUGCUAGUGCUUGGAGGGCGCUGUAUUCCACUCUGACUCAUCCUUGGGGGCGGACGUGGGAGCAUGGGGAAGUGGCGGGGCAACCAUAGGAAACAGAAAACUUAAGGGAGGAUAUGGCAUAUUUAGGACUGUGAAGUGUGCAAAUGCUGGUGAGCCAUUUGGUGCACUGAAAACAGGAGAGACCACAGUUAUAAAACACCACCUUUAUUAUAAAUACCAAGAAUCCAGAGUGUGUUUAUGGGCCAGCAUAUGCCUUUAGUCCUAUUGGAAAGUAUUCUUUCUGUAUGUUCUAAAGUUCUUCUCAUUUUCAGGGUUCUAUCCACAACAAACCUGGCUCUAAACCCAGUUACACUAAGGGGUUAUGAACUCUGUUUUCUUCCAAGAAAUCUGCAUUAUCAAGAGGAGCUUGGAGACGGGGUAACACUCGUGGCAGAAUUUCAGGCAUCCUUCUAGGAUGUCACUCCUCCUAGAAGCAGCUGUCUAUUGUGCAGCUCUGGUAACACCUUUGUUCCCAAAUUCUCCACUACAGAGGGCAGAAAAACAAGGGAGGGAGGUGGCAUGUGCAGGUCUGAGAAGGCUUUCAUUCUGGAGCACCUGACCCGUCAGCAGCCUGCAUCAUGUCCCAGUAGCGUCCGUUCCUCUCCAUGAGCUGCUGGUGGGUUCCUGCUUCACAGAUGGUGCCUCCUUCCAGAAAAAGGAUUUGGUCAGCCUGCUCCACCAAGCUGAGACACUGGGUGAUGAGAAGCACAGACCUAGAGCCCCGCUCAGGGCUUUUGUACAGGAGCUGCUCCACCUGAGAAAAGACACAGACUCUGUCAAGAACCCAGGGAGACACCUGUGUUUCCAGAGCAGGGGCAGAUCUCACCAGGAUCACUGCCACCUCUGCCAACAACCCCAAGGAGCUGAAGAUUCUUGUUCUGAGUGCUCCUCUGUCCAGCCUUUGAUUUGUUAAGGACUGUUUACAUGAGGUG